CUACGGGGUGCUCCAGUCGAGAAUCUUCCGCAAUGGACGAAGGUCUGACGGAGCGACGCCGCGUGCGGGAUGAAGGCCUUCGGGUUGUAAACCGCUGUCAGUGGGGAGGAAAUGCAUCAGGGUUCUCCCUGGUGUUUGACCGAUCCGCAGAGGAAGCGCAGGCUAAGUUCGUGCCAGCAGCCGCGGUAACACGAACUGCGCGAACGUUAUUCGGAAUCACUGGGCUUAAAGAGUUCGUAGGCGGCCUUUCAAGUCGGGUGUGAAAUCCCUCGGCUCAACCGAGGAAUUGCGCCUGAUACUGUUGGGCUUGAGGGGGAUAGGGGGGAGCGGAACUGAUGGUGGAGCGGUGAAAUGCGUUGAUAUCAUCAGGAACACCGGUGGCGAAGGCGGCUCACUGGAUCUCUUCUGACGCUGAGGAACGAAAGCUAGGGGAGCGAACGGGAUUAGAUACCCCAGUAGUC
rnacentral:rRNA from 1 species